rnacentral:rRNA from 1 species
UGGGGAAUAUUGGACAAUGGGCGCAAGCCUGAUCCAGCAAUGCCGCGUGAGUGAUGAAGGCCUUAGGGUUGUAAAGCUCUUUUUACCCGGGAAGAUAAUGACUGUACCGGGAGAAUAAGCCCCGGCUAACUCCGUGCCAGCAGCCGCGGUAAUACGGAGGGGGCUAGCGUUGUUCGGAAUUACUGGGCGUAAAGCGCACGUAGGCGGAUAGUUAAGUCAGGGGUGAAAUCCUGGGGCUCAACCCCAGAACUGCCUUUGAUACUGGCUGUCUCGAGGUCGAGAGAGGUUGGUGGAAUUCCUAGUGUAGAGGUGAAAUUCGUAGAUAUUAGGAAGAACACCGGUGGCGAAGGCGGCUCACUGGAUCGGUACUGACGCUGAGGUGCGAAAGCGUGGGGAGCAAACAGGAUUAGAUACCCCCGUAGUCCCUGAGCGGGCUGGCAAGGCGCAU